UACGUAGGGUGCAAGCGUUGUCCGGAAUUAUCGGGCGUAAAGAGCUCGUAGGCGGUUUGUCACGUCGGCUGUGAAAACCCGAGGCUCAACCUCGGGCCUGCAGUCGAUACGGGCAGACUAGAGUUCGGCAGGGGAGACUGGAAUUCCUGGUGUAGCGGUGAAAUGCGCAGAUAUCAGGAGGAACACCGGUGGCGAAGGCGGUUCUCUGGGCCUUACCUGACGCUGAGGAGCGAAAGCGUGGGGAGCGAACAGG
rnacentral:rRNA from 1 species